GACGAACGCUGGCGGCGUGCUUAACACAUGCAAGUCGAACGAAGAGCGGUGGAAGCUUGCUUCUAUCAAUCUUAGUGGCGAACGGGUGAGUAACGCGUAAUCAACCUGCCCUUCAGAGGGGGACAACAGUUGGAAACGACUGCUAAUACCGCAUACGAUCUAACCUCGGCAUCGAGGAUAGAUGAAAGGUGGCCUCUACAUGUAAGCUAUCACUGAAGGAGGGGAUUGCGUCUGAUUAGCUAGUUGGAGGGGUAACGGCCCACCAAGGCGAUGAUCAGUAGCCGGUCUGAGAGGAUGAACGGCCACAUUGGGACUGAGACACGGCCCAGACUCCUACGGGAGGCAGCAGUGGGGAAUCUUCCGCAAUGGACGAAAGUCUGACGGAGCAACGCCGCGUGAGUGAUGACGGCCUUCGGGUUGUAAAGCUCUGUUAAUCGGGACGAAAGGCCUUCUUGCGAAUAGUUAGAAGGAUUGACGGUACCGGAAUAGAAAGCCACGGCUAACUACGUG
rnacentral:rRNA from 1 species